GACGAACGCUGGCGGCGUGCCUAAUACAUGCAAGUAGAACGAGUUGCGAACGGGUGAGUAACGCGUGGUAACCUGCCUCAUAGCGGGGGAUAACUAUUGGAAACGAUAGCUAAUACCGCAUACCAUCCGAUGUUCCCAGAUUGGAUUAGCUUGUUGGUGGGGUAACGGCUCACCAGGGCGACCAUCCCUCGCUGGUCUGAGAGGAUGACCAGCAAAACGGGAACGGAGACACGGUCCAGACGCCUACGGGAGGCAGCAGUGGGGAAUAUUGCACAAUGGGCGCAAGCCUGAUGCAGCCAUGCCGCGUGUAUGAAGAAGGCCUUCGGGUUGUAAAGUACUUUCAGCGGGGAGGCGUUACCCGCAGAAGAAGCACCGGCUAACUCCGUGCCAGCAGCCGCGGUAAUAC
rnacentral:rRNA from 1 species